CGCCGCGUGAGUGGUGAAGGGUUUCGGAUCGUAAAGCUCUGUUGUUAGGGAAGAACAAGUGCCGUUCAAAUAGGGCGGCACCUUGACGGUACCUAACCAGAAAGCCACGGCUAACUACGUGCCAGCAGCCGCGGUAAUACGUAGGUGGCAAGCGUUGUCCGGAAUUAUUGGGCGUAAAGGGCUCGCAGGCGGUUUCUUAAGUCUGAUGUGAAAGCCCCCGGCUCAACCGGGGAGGGUCAUUGGAAACUGGGGAACUUGAGUGCA
rnacentral:rRNA from 1 species